CCUGGUUGAUCCUGCCAGUCGUGAUAUGCUUGUCUCAAAGAUUAAGCCAUGCAUGUCUGAGUACAGACCGAAUCUAAGGUGAAACCGCGAAUGGCUCAUUAAAUCAGUCAUAAUUCCUUGGAUAGUGAUAAAAUUUCCUCGGAUAACUGUGGAAAAUCCAGAGCUAAUACGUGCGACUGAGCUCCGACCUCGGCGUGAGCCUUGGGAAGAGCGCAUUUAUUAGAUUCAAAACUGACCGUGGUACUCUUCGGGAUGCUACGUUUGUCGAUUGUUUGAUGACUCCGGAUAACUAAGCCGAGCGCUAAGGACUUUGAGCCGGCGCCGUAUCUUUCAAGUGUCUGCCUUAUCAGCUUUCGAUUGUAGUUUAAAUGACUACAAUGGCUGUAACGGGUAACGGGGAAUCAGGGUUCGAUUCCGGAGAGGGAGCCUGAGAAACGGCUACCACAUCUAAGGAAGGCAGCAGGCACGCAAAUUACCCACUCCUAGCCCAGGGAGGUAGUGACGAAAAAUAACGAUGCGAGACUCUUCCGAGGCCUCGCAAUCGGAAUGAGUCCAUUUUAAAACUUUGGACGAGGAUCCAUUGGAGGGCAAGUCUGGUGCCAGCAGCCGCGGUAAUUCCAGCUCCAAUAGCGUAUAUUAAAGUUGCUGCGGUUAAAAAGCUCGUAGUUGGACUUCCUAGAUCCAUUUCGCGAGCGAGUCGCUCGUUGUCAUGUUCGCCUCGCGCCAGUCACUGUGUCUUUACGUCUUUAGCUGCAGUAUUUCGAUCGUAUUCGUGCGAGAGAUUUGUCUGUUAGCGUUUCCUCGGAGGACUACAGCGGACGGUGAGACGGUGUCUUCGAGUAUUGCUCGUUCGCGUCUGGUACAAUUAAAAUUUUGUCGGCUCGCUCGGAGUGCUCUUUACCGAGUGUUCCAGGGUGGCCGACACGUUCACUUUGAAAAAAUUAGAGUGCUUAAAGCGGGCGCAAUAUAGCCUAAAUGUCUGUGCAUGGAAUGAAGUAACAGGACCUCGAUUCUGUUUUUUUUGUCGGUUUUAUUGAACCGAGGUAAUGAUUAAAAGGGACAGACGGUGGCAUUAGUAUUGCGGCGCUAGAGGUGAAAUUCUUGGACCGCUGCAAGACUAACUACUGCGAAAGCAUUUGCCGAGAAUGUUUUCAUUAAUCAAGAACGAAAGUUAGAGGAUCGAAGGCGAUCAGAUACCGCCCUAGUUCUAACCCUAAACUAUGCUAACUAGCGAUCCGCCGGAGUCAUUCCCACGACCCGGCGGGAAGCCCCAGGGAAACCAAAGUUUUUGAGUUCCGGGGGAAGUAUGGUUGCAAAGCUGAAACUUAAAGGAAUUGACGGAAGGCACCACCAGGAGUGGCCUGCGGCUUAAUUUGACUCAACACGGGAAACCUCACCAGGCCCGGACAUCAUUAGGAUUGACAGGUUGAGAGCUCUUUCUCGAUUUGAUGGGUGGUGGUGCAUGGCCGUUCUUAGUUGGUGGAGUGAUCUGUCUGGUUGAUUCCGAUAACGAACGAGACUCUACCCUACUAACUAGUCGGCGGAUCGUAACCCUGAGAUGGUUAGUUUGUUUCGAAGUUGGUGCCAUCGAAGUUGUUCAAUCUUUGUCAUUACGUUAGCGACUUUUCUCAUUAAUUUGGGUUUAGCCGCGCGUUUUGGGGAUGUUGCGGGCUUCUAAGAUCGCCUUCCGAGAGCUGCUACACUGCUGGGGGCGUCCGUCGCAAUGUAUCUUCUUAGAGGGAUCAGCGGCGUAUAGCCGCACGAGAAAGAGCAAUAACAGGUCUGUGAUGCCCUUAGAUGUUCUGGGCCGCACGCGCGCUACAAUGUAAGGACCAGCGUGCGUUCCCUAUCCGAAAGGAUCGGGUAACCCGUUGAAAGCCCUACUCGAUUGGGAUUGGGGAUUGCAAAUAUUUCCCAUAAACGAGGAAUUCCCAGUAAGCGCGAUUCAUAAAAUCGCGCUGAUUACGUCCCUGCCCUUUGUACACACCGCCCGUCGCUACUACCGAUUGAAUGAUUCAGUGAGGGCAUCGGACUGGCGCCUUCGGUCUUGUCAAAGAGACCAUUGGCUGACGGAAAGAUGUCCGAACUUGAUCAUUUAGAGGAAGUAAAAGUCGUAACAAGGUUUCCGUAGUGAACCUGCGGAAGG
rnacentral:rRNA from 1 species